rnacentral:rRNA from 1 species
GACGAACCGUGCAAACGUUGUUCGGAAUCACUGGGCUUAAAGGGCGCGUAGGCGGGCAAGCAAGUCGAAGGUGAAAUCCCACGGCUCAACCGUGGAAGUGCCCCCGAUACUGCUUGUCUUGAGGGAGAUAGGGGCGUGCGGAACUUCCGGUGGAGCGGUGAAAUGCGUAGAUAUCGGAAGGAACACCGGUGGCGAAAGCGGCGCGCUGGAUCUCUUCUGACGCUGAGGCGCGAAAGCGUGGGGAGCGAACGGG